GUGCCAGCAGCCGCGGUAAGACAGAGGUGCCAAGCGUUAGGCGGAAUCACUGGGCUUAAAGCGUGUGUAGGCGGACUUGUAAGUAUCUUGUGAAAUCCCAUGGCUCAACCAUGGAACUGCUGGGUAUACUGCGAGUCUUGAGGCAUCUAGGGGCUACCGGAACAAAUGGUGGAGCGGUGAAAUGCGUAGAUAUCAUUUGGAACGCCAAAGGUGAAAACAGGUAGCUGGGGAUGUUCUGACGCUGAGACACGAAAGCCAGGGGAGCGAACGGGAUUAGAUACCCCGGUAGUCC
rnacentral:rRNA from 1 species